rnacentral:sRNA from 17 species
ACAAAACAGGCAGAAAGCUUAAAUUUCUGCCGAUUUCGCGGUUAAAGUCUUGGGAGGAUCAGAUCUUAGGCGCGGUCAUUCGCAGCCCCUUAAUUGGUGAAAGGUCACGCGACAUUUCAAUAACAAGGUCUUCGGGCCUUGUUUUUUUUU